AGCUUGGCGCGAAGAUAGUGCGUCACUUACGGUCACUCUAUCAGCCGGGCCAGGACCGUCCGUCUCUUCUGCUGAGACAGCAAUUUUAAGCCGAAAUGUCUAUACUAUGUCUAUGUCACGACGGCCCACGUGAAAAGACAUAGUAUUACCACCAGUGACUGAAUGGGGCUUCGCAGUGAGUUCAGAGCAUUUACGAUUUACACCAAGACGUCAAGACAAUGCUCGAGGACAUGCAAGGACUUACUUCUAAAGCUUAGCCCAACUACAAGUGAUGCGUGAAAAGAAGACAUUCCCUGGAUUCAUCAGAUGUCCGUCCUUAUGUUAAUCAUAGACAAUGAGCUGAUGAACAUGCAGUCUACCAGACAUCCGACAAGAAAUGUCUGGUAAGGGAGGUGUCAAGCCCCGCGCCAGUCACUGAAUGUGCUUCGCGACAUUGAGUGCAUCACGAAGUACAAGCUAAGGUCCAGCAAGGACCUAGACGUCAAGCGAUUCUACGGACUCCUUAUGGUUUCUAAGUCAGAAGAAGCUGUGAAGGAGACAUCUCUCAAUGGCGUUCAGGACCUUACUGAUGUCAUCAAUCCCGGCCAGGACAACGACGUACAGCAAUGUUCAUGGCGGGACUGGUCCUGUUGAGAGAAGAUAUCGUCCGAUGCCAAGUACGCCAUCUACACACGUCCGGAAAGAUCGGUGCUGGUGUGUACGCCCUUCCAGAGGACCUGAACUGUUGAGUUAUGUUGUUGAAACUCAUGGAAAGUGUAAAACGGGAACAUCUUGUAGGCAUGGCCUGGGAUUUAUCGGCAUGAUAGGAAGUAAAUAAUUUGUGAUGUUGCGUUUAUACUUAUUAUAUAUAGCUUUAACUGAUCUUGCCGUUUCAUUCUGUCUACCUGUGGCAUUGUUAGCAGGGCUGAUCACAAUCUCUUGGUUGGUGGUAAAGGUGUUUGAGUGUGUUUUGUUGACAUCUCGAGGAAUGUUGCUGUUAGUUGGCUAGGAUGUUUUGUGAGUGGGGGCUACUUUUGCACACGGGGCUUUAGUCCGUUUCUGUGGUGUAUAGGCCCGAUGUGUGACUGGUUUGGUUUCCGUGACUCUGUCGAGGGCUGGGGUCGUAUUCGGAGUUGUUGUGAAGUUCAAUCCUUUAGGGAACAGGGACUUUUCUGGUUCUGUGAGCUUAUGACGGCCUGGGUUUUUCUACCAUCUGUUGUCCUUUCUGUUUUAUGUCGUGGUCGGUGGUCGUCGGGAGCCUGGACCAUUACAUAAUCUGCCUUGUGUCGUUAUCUUGGGUCCAGAACCAAGACAAUGACACGGGGCCGGAAAGGAAGGCAGGUGGUUGAAGAGCUUGGGUUGUUAUGAGCUCAUAGUUCCAGGGAAUUUCUUGUUCUCUGAAGGACUGGACUUUGCAGUAACUUCGGAUGCAAUUCCGGCCGUUGACAUGGUCACAGUAACCGAAUUAGCCAUACAUCGGGCCUGAAUACCGCAGGAACAGGCUGAAGCGCUGUGUGUAGAAGUAGUCACUGCUCUCAGAAUGUCCUAACCCCUACCAACAACAUGACUUGGGAUGUCAUCGAAACGUACUCAGCACCUUGCCGCCCAUCAUGUGGUCAUGAUUCUGUCCGCUGAUAAUGCUUCAGGUAGACAGUUGGACUGAAAUAUUUCUAGGUUGAACCUAGAACUGAAAUCAUCAUCACAGAGCAAGUGUACUUCCUGGCAUGCCCCCAGCAGUGUAUAGAUAUAGAUGUUCUUGUUAAAGACCUUUUACAGAAUGUCAAGUGUACAAUUUCCGUCGCCAUGUAUAUUGCUAUAUUAGAUACAUUCAGUUUACAUGUAUGUACUCACAGCAGCUCUGUCCAUUUGUUUCAAUAAAAUGUAUUGCUAUCAUGCCAUUCCAGUAUAGGAAUGGCUGGCACUGAAUUGAUUUUCCUUGUUUUUUUGUUCUUAUAGCUGAUUGCUAAGUGACUAAAUGUCUCUUUGUUAUCGCCUUUGAUUUGUUUUUGUAUUUGGCUUCGUAAUUCCAUAAAAGACGCAAGUGUGUACAAGUGGCUUACAAUGUAGUAACGUUAGAUGCCGAUAUUGUAAAUGUUAGAGGUUACUUGGAGCCUUUUAAAUUUGCCUUUUUUUUAAUUCCACUGCUUAAGGCUUCGGCUGGCGUUCAGGCCUACACUACACGAAUUCACGCAUACUAACCGACUAACCCAAACACACACACAGCCCACACAUAUUUAUAGAACACUAAUAACAACACAAGAUGCCCUAGCCUUACGCUGUAACUUGAAGGAAAAACUUUUAUGAGACUUAAAGUAUAAACGGCUUCAAUUUGCCUCUAGUUAAGUUCUAUACAUAUCACUAGUUAGAUUAGAUAAGCAUUUUUUGCUUAGAUAGCAUCAUUUUUAGCGUUUUAGCUUUAGUUAGUAAUAUUCUUAAUUUUUUUUUAGUUUAGUAGGCAUGUUUAGUCACUAGCCACUUUCAAACUUACGAAUGUUUAAAACUAGUUAUAUUAAGAAGUUAACAAGGUCCUCGUGCAUCUUUAUGGCGUACAGUAAGCGCCGUUAGCCGCUGAGCAAGUUCCAUUGAUUUUUAUUUCGGUACUGUUGCCGUAGAGUCAAUGCUGACGUACUGUGUUCUGCAUAUGCAUGGUGUCCAGAUUUGAUGUAGUCAGUAGCCUUUUCUGAGGUUUGCACAUGUAUUACGCUACUAGCAAUGCAUGGUAUAGAUAUGUAUUACGCUACUAGCAAUGCAUCCUAUAGAUAUGAUUUCGUAGUUUAAUUAGCUGUAUUCAUUUCAUAAAAAAGGUCUUUUGCUCUCAAUUAGUUUUCAUAUUUCAUGCAUUUUGUUGCUUUUUUAGCUUUUCUAGUACAAGACUGGCCACCUUGUUCUAGAAAGCUACUUUGUUAACAAAUUUAAUGAGCUUUGAGAUCAAAGGACUUUUUUCCUCUGGUAGUUUUACUCAAUUUUAGUCAAUCAAAAGAGUGUUGUUGGCACAAAGCAAUACAAAGUGUACAAUAACGAUCUUGGUCAGUAUGUAUUUGGCAUGAUCGAACAUGUGCUAUGCAAUAAACGUUUUAAGCCA